UGGGGAAUCUUGCGCAAUGGGGGAAACCCUGACGCAGCGACGCCGCGUGCGGGAUGAAGGCCUUCGGGUUGUAAACCGCUUUCAGCAGGGACGAAAUUGACGGUACCUGCAGAAGAAGGCCCGGCCAACUACGUGCCAGCAGCCGCGGUAAUACGUAGGGGCCUAGCGUUGUCCGGAAUUAUUGGGCGUAAAGAGCUCGUAGGCGGUUCGGCAAGUCGGAUGUGAAAUCUCCACGCUUAACGUGGAGGGGCCAUUCGAAACUGCUGUGACUCGAGUCCGGUAGGGGAGUGUGGAAUUCCCGGUGUAGCGGUGAAAUGCGCAGAUAUCGGGAGGAACACCAGUAGCGAAGGCGGCACUCUGGGCCGGUACUGACGCUGAGGAGCGAAAGCGUGGGGAGCGAACAGGAUUAGAUACCCCCGUAGUCC
rnacentral:rRNA from 1 species